rnacentral:tRNA from 1 species
GCGUCGAUGGUGCAAUGCGUAGCAUCGCUGCCCGGAAAGCAGAAGGCGCGGGUUCGAGUUCCGCAUGGCGCA